AUUGAACGCUGGCGGCAGGCCUAACACAUGCAAGUCGAACGAGUGGCGCACGUGUGAGUCAUUUCUGGGAAACUGCCUGAUGGAGGGGGAUCACUACUGGAAACUGUAGCUAAUACCGCAUAACAUCGCAUGUCCCCAUAUGUUCUUAGCUUGUAGGUGGGGUAAAGGCUCACCUAGGCGACGAUCCCGAGCUGGUCUGAGAGGAUGACCAGCAAAACUGGAACUGAGACACGGCCCAGACUCCUACGGGAGGCAGAAGUGGGGAAUAUUGCACAAUGGGCGCAAGCCUGAUGCAGCCAUGCCGCGUGUAUGAAGAAGGCUUUAGGGUUGUAAAGUACUUUCAGCGGGGAGGCGUUAACCGAAGAAGAAGCACCGGCUAACUCCGUGCCAGCAGCCGCGGUAAUAC
rnacentral:rRNA from 1 species